GAUGAACGCUGGCGGCGUGCCUAACACAUGCAAGUCGAGCGCGAUUAAGUGGAGUGAGAACUUCGGUUCAAGUGAAAUUUAUGAAAGCGGCGGACGGGUGAGUAACGCGUGGGUAACCUGCCCCAUACAAAGGGAUAGCCACUGGAAACGGUGAUUAAUACCUUACAAGUCGGUAGUCUCGCAUGAGACAGCCGACAAAGAUUUAUCGGUAUGGGAUGGACCCGCGUCUGAUUAGCUAGUUGGUGAGGUAACGGCUCACCAAGGCGACGAUCAGUAGCCGACCUGAGAGGGUGAUCGGCCACACUGGAACUGAGACACGGUCCAGACUCCUACGGGAGGCAGCAGUGGGGAAUAUUGCACAAUGGGCGCAAGCCUGAUGCAGCAACGCCGCGUGAGUGAUGAAGGCUUUCGGGUCGUAAACUCUGUCCUAUGGGAAGAAAAAAUAGACGGUACCAUAGGAGGAAGCCCGGCUAACUACGUGCCAGCAGCCGCGGU
rnacentral:rRNA from 1 species